rnacentral:rRNA from 1 species
AUGAAGUUGAAUGUGGAUGCAGCCAUAGUGAGAGGCGGACGAGGAGGGGUGGCUGCAGCUGUAUGUCGCAGCAGCGAUGGCAUCUACCUUGGAUCGUCGGCGAUUGUCUACAGCGGUACGACGGACCCAGUGAUUCUCGAAACAUAUGCUUGCAGGGAAGCGCUAUCACUAGCCGAGGAUCUCGCUAUUCAGAGCCUCACGGUGGCCUCAGAUUGCCAGGGGGUCAUCAACGACAUCAAAUUGGGGACUAGGGGUCCUCAUGCAGCUAUCAUACAUGAAAUAAUAGCUCGUAGUUCUAGUUUUUUUCCUGCAGUUUUGUGCAUGAGCGUAGAAAUCAUAAUUUUGAGGCUCACAAUCUCGCCAAAUUUGCUUGUAAUUUAG